UUUUUUUUCUUUUUUUUUUCUCUGUGAGAUGCAAUCCCUCACUGUCACCCCUUCAGCUUCAUCCUCAUCAAAUCCCACUACACCCCAAUUGUUAAGUUUAGAGGAAAGGUUUCAAUUUGUAAGAAGCGUUGGUGAAGAAUGUAUUCAAGAAGAUGAACUACGUAAUCUUCUUGAGAAAAAAACCACUACCCAUUUGCUAUGAUGAUGGUUUUGAACCUUCUGGGAGAAUGCACAUUGCUCAUGAGUUUAUUUCCUCUGGUUUGAAAGGAACAACAGAAUUUUCAGCAGCAUCUCCCACCCUCACCAGGAAGAAGUAAGUGCAGACAUUAUUCAUCUCAUUCGGGCUUCACUUGAACAACAUCAACAAGCGCACUAUCCCAGACUCCAUUCGCCAGAUAUGGAACACACAGGAGCAGUAAUCUUCUCGCCUCCAAGGCCUCUCUCUUAG